UACGAAGGGGGCUAGCGUUGCUCGGAAUUACUGGGCGUAAAGGGAGCGUAGGCGGACUGUUAAGUUAGAGGUGAAAGCCCAGGGCUCAACCUUGGAAUUGCCUUUGAUACUGGCAGUCUUGAGUACGGAAGAGGUAUGUGGAACUCCGAGUGUAGAGGUGAAAUUCGUAGAUAUUCGCAAGAACACCAGUGGCGAAGGCGGCUCACUGGCCCGAUACUGACGCUGAGGCUCGAAAGCGUGGGGAGCAAACAGG
rnacentral:rRNA from 1 species